rnacentral:tRNA from 2 species
GCGCCCGUGGCGGAAUGGGUAGACGCAGAGGACUUAAAAUUCUCAGCCUUUACGGCGUACUGGUUCGAGUCCAGUCGGGCGCACCA